UACGUAGGGUGCAAGCGUUAAUCGGAAUUACUGGGCGUAAAGCGUGCGCAGGCGGUUGUGCAAGACAGAUGUGAAAUCCCCGAGCUCAACCUGGGAACUGCAUUUGUGACUGCACGGCUGGAGUGCGGCAGAGGGGGAUGGAAUUCCGCGUGUAGCAGUGAAAUGCGUAGAUAUGCGGAGGAACACCGAUGGCGAAGGCAAUCCCCUGGGCCUGCACUGACGCUCAUGCACGAAAGCGUGGGGAGCAAACAGG
rnacentral:rRNA from 1 species